rnacentral:tRNA from 1 species
ACGGCUAUAGCUCAGUGGAUUAGAGCAUGGGGUUUCUACCCCCAGUGUCGAGGGUUCAAGUCCUUCUAGUCGUGCCA